rnacentral:rRNA from 1 species
GUGCCAGCCGCCGCGGUAAUACCGGCAGCCCGAGUGAUGGCCGAUGUUAUUGGGCCUAAAGCGUCCGUAGCUGGCCCUGCAAGUCCACUGGGAAAUCCACCCGCUCAACGGGUGUCCGUCCGGUGGAACCUGUGUGGCUUGGGACCGGAAGGCGCGACGGGUACGUCCGGGGUAGGAGUGAAAUCCCGUAAUCCUGGACGGACCGCCGAUGGCGAACGCACGUCGCGAGGACGGAUCCGACAGUGAGGGACGAAAGCCAGGGUCUCGAACCGGAUUAGAUACCCUUGUAGUCC